rnacentral:lncRNA from 1 species
CCCUGCCCAGCCCCACAGAAGGGACAAUUCAGGUGGCACAUGCUGGGGCCAUUUGCCAGGGAGGCUGCCUGGUGCCACAGCCCCAGCCUCUCAGCCCAGCUCUCCUUCUGCUCCCCUGCAGCUUCACCCAGGACAGCAACACUCCCCCCACCAGCAGGUAAGCUGUCCUUCCCCUGGGGCUGGGUCUAUCCAUGGACAAGCUGUGACCCACAGCCAGGGGAAGGGGCUCCUUACUGUUCUGUGAGCCUCCCAGGAAAUUGAGAGAGCUGUGGGAAGUCUGUGAUGUACACAGCAGGGUGGGAGCUGCCCCAUCACCCAGCCCUGUCCCCCCCCAGCCCUUGCUGCCUUGUGUGGUCAGGAGUGGCAUGUCCUGCCCCCAACCUCUCCCAUGCCUGAUGCUGCCCCUGCCAUGUUCCUGCCCAUGCAGAUCCCCCACGGGGCUGUCCGACCACCAGCAGUGAGAGACUCUCGGUGCCUGUCGUCAUCUGCAUCAUCCUGGGGGCCCUCCUCUGCCUGCUCCUGGCCCUCCUGGCUGGGCAGGUGCGAAGCGCCAGGGUUCGGCGCAGAGGCUCCGGGAGAGCUGGGGAGCCCUUCCCUGAGGCCGUGUACAAGGAGAUCGCUUACAGCCUGGCAUGGGAGAAGCAGGCGAGGUUCAGUCUCUCAGAUGUCCCUGUCCUGCCCGGAGGUUACCCAGCAGAUGGCUAUGAUGAUGCUGGGGAGGUUUCUGACCCUGGAGAGGAUCCUGUCCCUGGGCAGGGGGACUGGGAAGCGCCCAGGACACCAGAGGGAGGAGAUGGGCUGAGGCAUGCAGUCACAGGGGCUGGGAGAACGGGCCAAAUGUCUCAGGCUGGUGAGGACGAGGAAGGUGAUAAACAGCCCCAAGGGGCACGCCACAGACCCAACCACAGCAGCCUGCCUUGAUGCUUACAGGGGGAAGCCUGCACUCCCGGAGAAGUGCUGGGGUCCCUGGAGCAGAGGGAGACACCUUGUACCCUGUCCUGGGGACCACGGGCUAUGACGAUGUUGAAGAGGUGUCUCUGGCAUGUCCCCAUGAGGACACCGAGGAUGUGACACCAGAGUCCCCUGCACAAGUGUUCCAGAGCCCCAGGCCAGCAGAGCCCAGCCCUGCUGAGCAGCUGGGUGCAGCCGGGAGGAAGGAGAGCUCAGUGCCCCUGGGAGAGCCGUGAGCAGCAGGGAAUGGUCUGGUCUUCCUUUUCCAGCAGUCAGCAGACGCACAUGAGUAUUUGCCCUCUUGGUAUUCCCCUGUUUUUAUGCUGUGUGUUGGUAUUUCCUCAUAUUAAAACCUUCUGGGGGCUUUGCCCCAGAUCCAGUCUUCCCUGGCCAUGUUUCUGGACAUCUCCCUGAGGGUGAUGGAGUGGAGAGGAGCUCAAAUAUGCAAUGGCUGGGAAGGGACACAUCUUAGAGCCAGCAGGAUAGGGGCCUGGUUUUGGGGCUGAAAGAGCCCCUGGUCUCUGGACACUAUUCCUACUGACAGACAUUUCCGUCCUGCCCUCCACAGGCAGUUUCCAGACAAAGUGGAUCUCUGGGAAGCCCCAAGAGACACUUCCUUGCAGUGCCC